rnacentral:rRNA from 1 species
AUUGAACGCUGGCGGCAUGCCUUACACAUGCAAGUCGAACGGCAGCACGGGUGCUUGCACCUGGUGGCGAGUGGCGAACGGGUGAGUAAUACAUCGGAACAUGUCCUGUAGUGGGGGAUAGCCCGGCGAAAGCCGGAUUAAUACCGCAUACGAUCUACGGAUGAAAGCGGGGGACCUUCGGGCCUCGCGCUAUAGGGUUGGCCGAUGGCUGAUUAGCUAGUUGGUGGGGUAAAGGCCUACCAAGGCGACGAUCAGUAGCUGGUCUGAGAGGACGACCAGCCACACUGGGACUGAGACACGGCCCAGACUCCUACGGGAGGCAGCAGUGGGGAAUUUUGGACAAUGGGCGAAAGCCUGAUCCAGCAAUGCCGCGUGUGUGAAGAAGGCCUUCGGGUUGUAAAGCACUUUUGUCCGGAAAGAAAUCCUUGGUUCUAAUAUAGCCGGGGGAUGACGGUACCGGAAGAAUAAGCACCGGCUAACUACGUGCCAGCAGCCGCGGUAAUACGUAGGGUGCGAGCGUUAAUCGGAAUUACUGGGCGUAAAGCGUGCGCAGGCGGUUUGCUAAGACCGAUGUGAAAUCCCCGGGCUCAACCUGGGAACUGCAUUGGUGACUGGCAGGCUAGAGUAUGGCAGAGGGGGGUAGAAUUCCACGUGUAGCAGUGAAAUGCGUAGAGAUGUGGAGGAAUACCGAUGGCGA